rnacentral:rRNA from 1 species
CAAUCCGGCGAACAAUACUCUCAAAGUUUGACCUCAAAUCAGGUAGGAAUACCCGCUGAACUUAAGCAUAUCAAUAAGCGGAGGAAAAGAAACCAACCGGGAUUGCCUUAGUAACGGCGAGUGAAGCGGCAAAAGCUCAAAUUUGAAAUCUGGUACCUUCGGUGCCCGAGUUGUAAUUUGUAGAAGGUAACUUUGGGGCUGGUCCUUGUCUAUGUUCCUUGGAACAGGACGUCAUAGAGGGUGAGAAUCCCGUGUGGCGAGGAUCCCAGUUCUUUGUAAAGUGCUUUCGAAGAGUCGAGUUGUUUGGGAAUGCAGCUCUAAGUGGGUGGUAAAUUCCAUCUAAAGCUAAAUAUUGGCGAGAGACCGAUAGCGAACAAGUACAGUGAUGGAAAGAUGAAAAGAACUUUGAAAAGAGAGUGAAAAAGUACGUGAAAUUGUUGAAAGGGAAGGGCAUUUGAUCAGACAUGGUGUUUUGCGCCCUCUGCUCCUUGUGGGUGGGGGAAUCUCGCAGCUCACUGGGCCAGCAUCAGUUUUGGCGGCAGGAUAAAUCUGCAGGAAUGUAGCUUGCCUCGGUAAGUGUUAUAUCCUGUAGAAAUACUGCCAGCUGGGACUGAGGACUGCGACUUUACGUCAAGGAUGCUGGCAG